UCCCAUUAUGGAACGAGCUGAGGCGAGACUAGUCCUUGGAGAUGUACCAAGCUGUCCGUAAGCUAGGUCCAUCGGGUGAUUCCAGGCCUCAAAGUCGAACCCGAGACCAAUAGGGAGCAAACCCACAGUCCAAGCCAACUCAGCUACCCAUCCGAACUCUGGGCUUAAUAUGUUGCUUAAUGUAUGUGGUCACAUUAAGAAUACACUUCUAGACUUAAAAAUGUUAGACUCAAAAUUGAUUCUAGACUUAAUAUGUUGCUUGAUGUGUGUGGUUUAAGGAUAGCCGGUUAAUGCCCUGCAACGAAGAAAUAUACGGAAUAAAUUAAUGACAUAGAAAUUGAGGAUGCAUCUUGACGUUGCACAGAUUACAGGCGGAGUUAAAAAUAACCAAUAAUCAGAGCAUAUCUCAUUACUGCCGGGAAUGCUCUGGUAGACAUGUAUGCAAAAUGUGGAAGCAUAGACAACGCACGUGAACUGUUUGACAGAAUACCCCAAAGAAAUAUGGUCUAAUGGAACGCCAUAAUUGCUGGAUGUAAGCAAAGUGAUUUGUUGAAAGGGCUUCAGAAACUUUCAGUCGGAUGCAAUUGGCAGGACUCCGCACCUUUGCCAGCAAGCUCCCUGCUUUGCCAAAACGGAGGCUUUGGAACAAGGUAUGCGAUCGAUCAAAGGAUAAAGGACAGAGGGACUUUGUCAUAUGUAUAAAGCUUAGUGGAAGGGGGUUUUCGUCAGAUAUAAUAUUUGGAAAUGCUCUAGUAGAGGCACGUAAACUGUUUGACAAAAUGUCUCAAAGAAAUAUGGUUUCAGAGAAUGCAAUGUUUGUCUUGCAAGGAUGCUCUCAAAAUGUUUGAAUUAAUGAAGCACUUUGGAACAUAUCCUGAAACUAUAAACUUUGCUUGUGUUAUAUGUGCAUGCAGCCUUAGUGAAUGUGAGCUGUACAUGCUUCAAUCACAUGAGUAACCCUUACUGCAUUGCACCUCCAUUUCAUCAUUAUGUGUGUGCUUGACCUACUUGCUCGUGCUGGCUAUAAUGAGGAUACCCUUUAAAUUUAUCAUUCAAGAUGCCAGUUGAACCAGGGAUGGAUGUGUGGAUCUGUUUUCUUGCUGCCUGCAGAUCACAUAUGGAUAUAGGCUAUGAGUAUUUACAGCAAUGCUAUUUUUCUAUUUGGAUUUAAAAAAAAGAUGUGACCAAUGUUCUCUUAAACGUCUACGCAGAAAAGUGGGCAUGUCGUGUGAGCAAAUGGAGAUAGAUGACAUUCACAGUCAGUAAAUCAAUGUAAAGUUGGAGAAAUUUGGCUUGGGAGAUGCAGGCAGAAAGUAUUUUGAGAUGUAAGUAGGGGGUGUGGUAAGGAGGAAAAAAAAUAGUUUCUCUGCCACCAUUGUGAAUUGCUCUUGGUUUUCUAGAAAUACCCCCAGAACAACUGUUAAUCUUGUUAACAACCUUUGAGUAUGUGUCAAUUGUCACAUUGUAAUGAAAUUUAUCGUCAAGAUCAUUGCAAUUCCACUUUUAAUUAUUAGUUUAGUUAAUUUCAUGAAGAGGAAAUGAAUUCAUUUGGAUA